GUGCCAGCCGCCGCGGUAAUACGUAGGGGCCUAGCGUUGUCCGGAUUUAUUGGGCGUAAAGAGCUCGUAGGCGGUUCGGCAAGUCGGAUGUGAAAUCUCCACGCUCAACGUGGAGGGGCCAUUCGAAACUGCUGUGACUUGAGUCCGGUAGGGGGGUGUGGAAUUCCCGGUGUAGCGGUGAAAUGCGCAGAUAUCGGGAGGAACACCAGUAGCGAAGGCGGCACCCUGGGCCGGUACUGACGCUGAGGAGCGAAAGCGUGGGGAGCAAACAGGAUUAGAUACCCUGGUAGUCCACGCCGUAAACGAUGUGUGCUGGAUGUUGGGCAGCUUGGCUGUUCAGUGUCGUAGCUAACGCGAUAAGCACACCGCCUGGGGAGUACGGCCGCAAGGUUGAA
rnacentral:rRNA from 1 species